rnacentral:rRNA from 1 species
CACGUAGGCACCAAGCGUUGUCCGGAUUUAUUGGGCGUAAAGAGCUCGUAGGCGGUUCGGUAAGUCGGGUGUGAAAACUCUGGGCUCAACCCAGAGCCGCCACCCGAUACUGCUGUGACUUGGGUUCGGUAGGGGAGCGGGGAAUUCCUGGUGUAGCGGUGAAAUGCGCAGAUAUCAGGAGGAACACCAGUGGCGAAGGCGCCGCUCUGGGCCGACACUGACGCUGAGGAGCGAAAGCGUGGGUAGCAAACAGG